GUUUUUGUUUUGUUUUUG
rnacentral:sRNA from 1 species